CGGCGUGCUUACACAUGCAGUCGAACGAUGAACCGCUUUCGGGCGGGGAUUAGUGGCGAACGGGUGAGUAACACGUGGGCAAUCUGCCCUGCACUCUGGGACAAGCCCUGGAAACGGGGUCUAAUACCGGAUAUGACCGUCUGCCGCAUGGUGGAUGGUGUAAAGCUCCGGCGGUGCAGGAUGAGCCCGCGGCCUAUCAGCUUGUUGGUGAGGUAGUGGCUCACCAAGGCGACGACGGGUAGCCGGCCUGAGAGGGCGACCGGCCACACUGGGACUGAGACACGGCCCAGACUCCUACGGGAGGCAGCAGUGGGGAAUAUUGCACAAUGGGCGAAAGCCUGAUGCAGCGACGCCGCGUGAGGGAUGACGGCCUUCGGGUUGUAAACCUCUUUCAGCAGGGAAGAAGCGAAAGUGACGGUACCUGCAGAAGAAGCGCCGGCUAACUACGUGCCAGCAGCCGCGGUAAUACGUAGGGCGCAAGCGUUGUCCGGAAUUAUUGGGCGUAAAGAGCUCGUAGGCGGCUUGUCACGUCGGUUGUGAAAGCCCGGGGCUUAACCCCGGGUCUGCAGUCGAUACGGGCAGGCUAGAGUUCGGUAGGGGAGAUCGGAAUUCCUGGUGUAGCGGUGAAAUGCGCAGAUAUCAGGAGGAACACCGGUGGCGAAGGCGGAUCUCUGGGCCGAUACUGACGCUGAGGAGCGAAAGCGUGGGGAGCGAACAGGAUUAGAUACCCUGGUAGUCCACGCCGUAAACGGUGGGCACUAGGUGUGGGCAACAUUCCACGUUGUCCGUGCCGCAGCUAA
rnacentral:rRNA from 1 species